rnacentral:rRNA from 1 species
AACGAACGCUGGCGGCGUGCCUAAUACAUGCAAGUCGAGCGAAUGGAUUAAGAGCUUGCUCUUAUGAAGUUAGCGGCGGACGGGUGAGUAACACGUGGGUAACCUGCCCAUAAGACUGGGAUAACUCCGGGAAACCGGGGCUAAUACCGGAUAACAUUUUGAACCGCAUGGUUCGAAAUUGAAAGGCGGCUUCGGCUGUCACUUAUGGAUGGACCCGCGUCGCAUUAGCUAGUUGGUGAGGUAACGGCUCACCAAGGCAACGAUGCGUAGCCGACCUGGGAGGGUGAUCGGCCACACUGGUACUGAGACACGGCCCAGACUCCUCCGGGAGGCAGCAGUAGGGAAUCUUCCUCAAUGGACGAAAGUCUGACGGAGCAACGCCGCGUGAGUGAUGAAGGCUGUCGGGUCGUAAAACUCUGUGGUUAGGGAAGAACACGUGCUAGUUGAAUAAGCUGGCACCUUGAUGGUACCUAACCAGAAAGCCACGGCUAACUACGUGCCAGCCGCCGCGGUAA